UACGUAGGGUGCGAGCGUUGUCCGGAAUUAUUGGGCGUAAAGAGCUUGUAGGCGGCUUGUCGCGUCUGCUGUGAAAACCCGGGGCUUAACCCCGGGCUUGCAGUGGGUACGGGCAGGCUAGAGUGUGGUAGGGGAGACUGGAAUUCCUGGUGUAGCGGUGGAAUGCGCAGAUAUCAGGAGGAACACCGAUGGCGAAGGCAGGUCUCUGGGCCAUUACUGACGCUGAGAAGCGAAAGCGUGGGGAGCGAACAGG
rnacentral:ncRNA from 3 species